CAGCAGCCGCGGUAAAACGAAGGGGGCUAGCGUUGCUCGGAAUUACUGGGCGUAAAGGGAGCGUAGGCGGACAUUUAAGUCAGGGGUGAAAUCCCAGAGCUCAACUCUGGAACUGCCUUUGAUACUGGGUGUCUUGAGUGUGAUAGAGGUAUGUGGAACUCCGAGUGUAGAGGUGAAAUUCGUAGAUAUUCGGAAGAACACCAGUGGCGAAGGCGACAUACUGGAUCAUUACUGACGCUGAGGCUCGAAAGCGUGGGGAGCAAACAGGAUUAGAUACCCGCGUAGUCCCUGUCUCUUAUAC
rnacentral:rRNA from 1 species